AUGAGGUGUGGAUAGGGGAGAAAUUCCAAUCGAACCCGGAGAUAGCUGGUUCUCCUCGAAAUAGCUUUAGGGCUAGCCUCGUAUUAGUUUAGCGGAGGUAGAGCACUGAAUUCCUAAGGGGGCGUCAAAGCUUACCAAGGGAUAUCAAACUCCGAAUGCCGCAUAAAUGAUGUACGGGAGUCAGACUGCACGAGAUAAGUUGGGCAGUCAAAAGGGAAAGAGCCCAGACCUACAGCUAAGGUCCCAAAGUGUGUGUUAAGUGGAAAAGGAUGUGGGAUUUCAAAGACAACUAGGAUGUUGGCUCAGAAGCAGCCACACAUUCAAAGAGUGCGUAAUAGCUCACUAGUCGAGAGGUCCUGCGCCGAAAAUGUCCGGGGCUGAAACACAACACCGAAGCUUAGGAAUGUAGUAAUACAUUGGUAGAGGAGCAUUCUUAAAGGAACGAAGCAGUACCGAUAAGGAGCUGUGGACUUUUAAGAAGAGAGAAUGCCGGAAUGAGUAGCGAGAUGGAGGUGGGAAUCCUCCAGGCCGAAUAUCCAAGGUUUCCAGAGUAAAGCUGAUCUGCUCUGGGUAAGUCGGGGCCUAAGGUAAGGCUGAGAAGCGUAGCCGAUGGACAACAGGUUGAGAUUCCUGUACCGCGUAUCAUCAGAACUGUGGGGACACAGAAGGACAGCACAUCCCGGGAAUGGAAAGACCGGGGCAAGCAGGGUAGGAGUUAAGCUGGCAAAUCCGCUUAACAAUCCGAAGCUGUGAUGCGGAGCGAAUUUAAGUAGCGAAGUGUGCGAUUCCAGCUGUCAAGAAAAGCCGCUAUUGUGUGAUACGUGCCCGUACCGUAAACCGACACAGGUAGAUGAGGAGAGAAUCCUAAGGCCGGCGGGAGAAGCAUUGUUAAGGAACUCGGCAAAAUGACCCCGUAACUUCGGGAGAAGGGGUGCCCAUGAAAGUGGGCCGCAGAGAAUAGGCUCAAGCAACUGUUUAGCAAAAACACAGGUCUAUGCAAAACCGUAAGGUGAGGUAUAUGGGCUGACGCCUGCCCGGUGCUGGAAGGUUAAGAGGAGGGGUUAGCGCAAGCGAAGCUCUGAAUUGAAGCCCCAGUAAACGGCGGCCGUAACUAUAACGGUCCUAAGGUAGCGAAAUUCCUUGUCGGGUAAGUUCCGACCCGCACGAAAGGCGUAAUGAUUUGAGCGCUGUCUCGACAAUGCACCCGGUGAAAUUGAAAUACCAGUGAAGAUGCUGGUUACCUGCGCCAGGACGGAAAGACCCCAUGGAGCUUUACUCCAGCUUGAUACUGGGAUUCGGUACUGCAUGUACAGGAUAGGUGGGAGACUGAGAACUAUGAACGCCAGUUUGUAGGGAGUCGCUGUUGGGAUACCACCCUUGCGGUAUUGGAUUUCUAACCUGCAGCCGUGAACCGGCUGGGGGACAAUGUCAGGCGGGGAGUUUGACUGGGGCGGUCGCCUCCGAAAGGGUAUCGGAGGCGCUCAAAGGUUCCCUCAGAAUGGUUGGAAACCAUUCGAAGAGUGCAAAGGCAGAAGGGAGCUUGACUGCGAGACCGACGGGUCGAGCAGGUAGGAAACUAGGACUUAGUGAUCCGGUGGUAUGAAAGUGGGAUUGCCAUCGCUCAACGGAUAAAAGCUACCCUGGGGAUAACAGGCUUAUCACUCCCAAGAGUUCACAUCGACGGAGUGGUUUGGCACCUCGAUGUCGGCUCAUCGCAUCCUGGGGCUGUAGCAGGUCCCAAGGGUUGGGCUGUUCGCCCAUUAAAGCGGUACGCGAGCUGGGUUCAGAACGUCGUGAGACAGUUCGGUCCCUAUCCGGCGCGGGCGUAAGAUAUUUGAGAGGAGCUGUCCUUAGUACGAGAGGACCGGGAUGGACGGGCCGCUGGUGUACCUGUUGGAGUGCCAACUCCAUGGCAGGGUAGCCAAGCCCGGACGGGAUAAACGCUGAAGGCAUCUAAGCGUGAAGCCCCCCUCAAGAUGAGAUAUCUCAUACGCAAGUAGUAAGACCCCUUGAAGACGACGAGGUAGAUAGGUCAGAGGUGGAAGUGUGGUAACACAUGGAGCUGACUGAUACUAAUCGGUCGAGGGCUUGACCAA
rnacentral:rRNA from 1 species